UACAGAGGGUGCAAGCGUUAAUCGGAAUUACUGGGCGUAAAGCGUGCGCAGACGGUUGCGUAAGUCAGAUGUGAAAGCCCCGGGCUCAACCUGGGAAUUGCAUUUGUGACUGCAUGGCUGGAGUGCGGCAGAGGGGGAUGGAAUUCCGCGUGUAGCAGUGAAAUGCGUAGAUAUGCGGAGGAACACCGAUGGCGAAGGCAAUCCCCUGGGCCUGCACUGACGCUCAUGCACGAAAGCGUGGGGAGCAAACAGG
rnacentral:rRNA from 1 species